AACCGGGCAAGCUUUUUCGAUAAAGACCGUUAGCCAUCAUCUCGUUGCUGCUUAUCUCCAUCAAAGUCAUCGUUUCUCUGGAAAAUCGAAUGUGCCCCACGUUACUUCAGCUGAAUUCCAGCAAUAAACGGUGGGUUCUGCUUUGCCACCUGAAUUUUGUGCCCUUCUCUUUCAACUUGGAAAGCAACGGGUAGAAAUCUGAGAACUGGCAUGAGUGAACCUGAUCUUCGUCCAAUUUCGAAACUCCCUUCUAGGGCAAAGCAGUGCUGGAGAUAGGUGUGUUCAUUUUAAGUAUCUUUGCCUGGAUUAUCCACAGUUGUGAGAAUAUGAUCUUUCAAAUAUUCGGGGAAAGUCGCUGGUGAUGAAGAAGACUACACCUCUGUGAACAGGGUUUUCGUGGACCGCAUAGCUCACUUCCUCUUGAUUUGGUGAAUCUGGAAUUUCACUCCCUCGCAGACUGGGAACGCAUAAAUUCCUCAAAGAAACCUGCAAAAUAUCAAACUGUCAUGACUGCUAUAUAAACGAGCAUUACAAUUUACAAUUGACUGCUAUGCCCGCAUGCAUGAUUCGCCACUUUUUCGUGCAAUGAGGUUUUGACGCUUAAAAUUUUCCUUUUCCAGUGGUUUCGGACUUGUGGAUGCAUUCUUUUGUUCUCUUUUUGAGAGAGAGAACCUUAGAAAUUAUCGUCUUAACUACCGAAGAACACUAGUGGCAUCCAGUCAGGUAUAGCCUUCUCAAGGAUUUCAAGCACUGGAGUCCUGGAGCAUCCCCUGCUUUCUCGCAAUUCACCGUGUUCAGCUCCUCCAAGUUCUCCAAUUCAGACAGAUCAGAGACCGUCUCCGUUGCCAUGCAGUCUG
rnacentral:lncRNA from 1 species